UGAGGAAUAUUGGUCAAUGGACGGAAGUCUGAACCAGCCAAGUAGCGUGCAGGAUGACGGCCCUAUGGGUUGUAAACUGCUUUUGUAUGGGGAUAAAGUUAGGGACGUGUCCCUAUUUGCAGGUACCAUAUGAAUAAGGACCGGCUAAUUCCGUGCCAGCAGCCGCGGUAAUACGGAAGGUUCAGGCGUUAUCCGGAUUUAUUGGGUUUAAAGGGAGCGUAGGCUGGAGAUUAAGUGUGUUGUGAAAUGUAGACGCUCAACGUCUGACCUGCAGCGCAUACUGGUUUCCUUGAGUACGCACAACGUUGGCGGAAUUCGUCGUGUAGCGGUGAAAUGCUUAGAUAUGACGAAGAACUCCGAUUGCGAAGGCAGCUGACGGGAGCGCAACUGACGCUUAAGCUCGAAGGUGCGGGUAUCAAACAGGAUUAGAUACCCUGGUAGUCCGCACAGUAAACGAUGGAUGCCCGCUGUUGGUACCUGGUAUCAGCGGCUAAGCGAAAGCAUUAAGCAUCCCACCUGGGGAGUACGCCGGCAACGGUG
rnacentral:rRNA from 1 species